UUUUAUUUGAGAGUUUGAUCCUGGCUAAGGAUGAACGCUGGCGGCGUGCCUAACACAUGCAAGUUGAGCGAUUUACUUCGGUAAAGAGCGGCGGACGGGUGAGUAACGCGUGGGUAACCUACCCUGUACACACGGAUAACAUACCGAAAGGUAUGCUAAUACGGGAUAAUAUAUUUGAGAGGCAUCUCUUGAAUAUCAAAGGUGAGCCAGUACAGGAUGGACCCGCGUCUGAUUAGCUAGUUGGUAAGGUAACGGCUUACCAAGGCGACGAUCAGUAGCCGACCUGAGAGGGUGAUCGGCCACAUUGGAACUGAGACACGGUCCAAACUCCUACGGGAGGCAGCAGUGGGGAAUAUUGCACAAUGGGCGAAAGCCUGAUGCAGCAACGCCGCGUGAGUGAUGAAGGCCUUCGGGUCGUAAAACUCUGUCCUCAAGGAAGAUAAUGACGGUACUUGAGGAGGAAGCCCCGGCUAA
rnacentral:rRNA from 1 species